AUUGAACGCUAGCGGCAGGCUUAACACAUGCAAGUCGAACGAGCGGCGGACGGGUGAGUAAUGUCUGGGAAACUGCCUGGUGGAGGGGGAUAACUACUGGAAACGGUAGCUAAUACCGCAUACCAUCAGAUGUGCCCAGAUGGGAUUAGCUAGUAGGUGGGGUAAUGGCUCACCUAGGCGACGAUCCCUAGCUGGUCUGAGAGGAUGACCAGCCACAAUGGAACUGAGACACGGUCCAGACUCCUACGGUAGGCAGCAGUGGGGAAUAUUGGACAAUGGGCGAAACCCUGAUCCAGCCAUGCCGCGUGUGUGAAGAAGGCCUUCGGGUUGUAAAGCACUUUCAGCGAGGAGGCGUUACUCGCAGAAGAAGCACCGGCUAACUCCGUGCCAGCAGCCGCGGUAAUUC
rnacentral:rRNA from 1 species